CGGCUUGUCAUCUGUGCUGGUGGAGACACAUGUGCACGUUGCAAGUCGCAAAUCCCACACACCUGUGCACCUAUGACUCUGAGUACCGCUUUGCAUGGGCCCUCAAAGGCCCUGGUACUCGAGUACUUUUACACACUCUGAAUGUAAUGGAAUGUCUAUUGUACAAUGUACAACCAAAACAACUUUCAACAACGGAUCUCUUGGCUCUCGCAUCGAUGAAGAACGCAGCGAAAUGCGAUAAGUAAUGUGAAUUGCAGAAUUCAGUGAAUCAUCGAAUCUUUGAACGCACCUUGCACCCUUUGGUAUUCCGAAGGGUACACCCGUUUGAGUGUCAUUGUAAUCUCACCCCCUUGACUUUUUUGUUGAUCGGUGUGGACCUGGAUGUUGCCGUGUAACAAACGGCUUGUCUGAAAUGCCUGAGUGUACCCUGCUUUGCAGCGUAUUCGGUGUGAUAAAUCUUUACCGGAGUUGACUUUUUCGAGUCGCGCUUGUACCUGUGGGCUCUAUGC
rnacentral:rRNA from 1 species